GAGGAGAAGCUUGUCCAUGUCCAGGUGCCUCACCACGGCUGGGUGGGUGACUGGUAGGCUGCUUUGGUGGGUUGCUGAGUGGGCAGAGACCAGCGGUACUCUGCCCUGGUGCCAACGCUACUGUGGAGGUAGCCUGGUUGAAGCCUGGUUGUUGGAGGGGGAGACCGACUGUCUCCCCUUUAGAUACACAGCCCUGCUGCUGGAGACCGACUGUCUCCCCUUUAGACACACAGCCCUGCUGCUGGAGACCGACUGUCUCCCCUUUAGACACACAGCCCUGCUGCUGGAGACCGACUGUCUCCCCUUUAGAUACACCGCUGGGCUGCCGGAGGGGGAGACCGACUAUCUCCCCUUUGGCUAAACAGCCCUGUCGCUGGGGGGCAGAACCGACCGUCCCUACCCCCUGUGCUGUACGUGCAGAGACCACGGUCCCAUCUGCACAGUUGUGGGGCUUACUGUCUCCCCCUGGUACAUUAGGUUGCCACUGGGGAGGGAGGACGCUGCUCUCCUCUCCCUGCAAGGUACACUGCCACUGGGGGACAGGACCACUUGUC